AGACCCGAAACCCGGUGAUCUAGCCAUGGGCAGGUUGAAGGUUGGGUAACACUAACUGGAGGACCGAACCGACUAAUGUUGAAAAAUUAGCGGAUGACCUGUGGCUGGGGGUGAAAGGCCAAUCAAACCGGGAGAUAGCUGGUUCUCCCCGAAAGCUAUUUAGGUAGCGCCUCGUGAACUCAUCUCCGGGGGUAGAGCACUGUUUCGGCUAGGGGGCCAUCCCGGCUUACCAACCCGAUGCAAACUGCGAAUACCGGAGAAUGUUAUCACGGGAGACACACGGCGGGUGCUAACGUCCGUCGUGAAGAGGGAAACAACCCAGACCGCCAGCUAAGGUCCCAAAGUCAUGGUUAAGUGGGAAACGAUGUGGGAAGGCCCAGACAGCCAGGAUGUUGGCUUAGAAGCAGCCAUCAUUUAAAGAAAGCGUAAUAGCUCACUGGUCGAGUCGGCCUGCGCGGAAGAUGUAACGGGGCUAAACCAU
rnacentral:rRNA from 16 species